UUGCAGAGGAAGGAAAAUAGUGAAGUUAGCUUUAGGGGUUUAGGGCACAAUCAAGGUUAGGUUUUAUACCUUUUGUUCUGCUGGUUCCGGCAUCUACUUCUCUCUCUCUCUGUCUUUGAUCUUUCGCCAUGGACGAAUCUUAUACCAGUCUUCCUACCAGCCAUUUACUGGGUUCAGUUGCUGUUCUGUUGCUAAUCCCAGUUGAGAUCCUCUGGUGGAUCAUCAUAAUCCUCACCGCUGUGGCUUCAGCUUCCUUUGUUUCUCUGAACAUGAAGUCCUUCAUCGAGGCUGAUCUCAUGAUAGUGGUGGUGGCAGCAUUUGCUUUGCGAGUUGCUCUAGCACUUUUCAUCAAGAUCUGGUUCUUCCCAUAAAUAUCAGACGCUAUACUCAAUGGGUGGGUAUUGGUAUCCUGAAAGAAAAAGAGAUGUAAACAGAUGGCAUCCAAUACAGUGAUAAUUGCUAUGUUCAUAUUCCGCUUUGUAUUAUAUGUCCAGUGGUGGAAUCAAGGAAGCCAAAAGAGACGAAAUUGCACUAUGACAAAUACUGGGUGUUGACGAAAUUGCACUAUGACAAAUCCCAAUCAGGGUUCUCUUCAGGGUAUCAACAGAAGUAGAUAUCAAUUGAAGACUCCUUAGAAGCUCCAGUAACUUCAUUUCAGAUUGAUCAAGUUUUGCUUCAAUAAUUCCUUUGAUUCUCAGAACCUCCUCAAUGAUCUUAAUUUCUCCUCCACGAUUGAUCCUGUAAACAUUCACAAUAAUAUUAUUAAUCUGUUCUGCGUUAUCCUC